rnacentral:rRNA from 1 species
UACGGGAAACCGGAGCUAAUACCGGAUAAUAUUUUGAACCGCAUGGUUCAAAAGUGAAAGACGGUCUUGCUGUCACUUAUAGAUGGAUCCGCGCUGCAUUAGCUAGUUGGUAAGGUAACGGCUUACCAAGGCAACGAUGCAUAGCCGACCUGAGAGGGUGAUCGGCCACACUGGAACUGAGACACGGUCCAG